UACAGAGACUGCAAGCGUUAUUCGGAUUCACUGGGCGUAAAGGGUGCGCAGGCGGCCGAGUGUGUGAGCCGGGAAAGCCUGGGGCUUAACCCCAGAAUUGCACCUCAAACUACACGGCUAGAGCAUUGGAGAGGGUAGCAGAAUUCAUGGUGUAGCAGUGAAAUGCGUAGAUAUCAUGAGGAAUACCAGAGGCGAAGGCGGCUACCUGGACAAUUGCUGACGCUCAGGCACGAAAGCGUGGGGAGCAAACAGG
rnacentral:rRNA from 1 species